AGGAUUAGAUACCCUGGUAGUCCACGCCGUAAACGGUGGGCACUAGUUGUGGGGACCUUCCACGGUCUCUGCGACGCAGCUAACGCAUUAAGUGCCCCGCCUGGGGAGUACGAUCGCAAGAUUAAAACUCAAAGGAAUUGACGGGGCCCCGCACAAGCAGCGGAGCAUGCGGCUUAAUUCGACGCAACGCGAAGAACCUUACCAAGGCUUGACAUAUACAGGAAUAUGGCAGAGAUGUCAUAGCCGCAAGGUCUGUAUACAGGUGGUGCAUGGUUGUCGUCAGCUCGUGUCGUGAGAUGUUGGGUUAAGUCCCGCAACGAGCGCAACCCUCGUUCUGUGUUGCCAGCAUUUAGUUGGGGACUCACAGGAGACUGCCGGGGUUAACUCGGAGGAAGGUGGGGAUGACGUCAAAUCAUCAUGCCCCUUAUGUCUUGGGCUGCACGCAUGCUACAAUGGCUGGUACAAACGGCUGCAAUACCGCAAGGUGGAGCGAAUCCGAGAAAGCCAGUCUCAGUUCGGAUUGGGGUCUGCAACUCGACCCCAUGAAGUCGGAGUUGCUAGUAAUCGUAGAUCAGCAACGCUACGGUGAAUACGUUCCCGGGGCUUGUACACACCGCCCGUCACGUCACGAAAGUCGGUAACACCCGAAGUCAGUGGCCCAACCGCAAGGAGGGAGCUGCCGAAG
rnacentral:rRNA from 1 species